rnacentral:rRNA from 1 species
AUACAGAGGGUGCGAGCGUUAAUCGGAAUUACCGGGCGUAAAGCGCGCGUAGGCGGCUUAUUAAGUCAGAUGUGAAAUCCCCGGGCUCAACCUGGGAACUGCAUCUGAUACUGGUAAGCUAGAGUUUUGGAGAGGGAAGUAGAAUUUCAGGUGUAGCGGUGAAAUGCAUAGAGAUCUGAAGGAAUACCAGUGGCGAAGGCGACUUCCUGGCCAAAAACUGACGCUGAGGUGCGAAAGCGUGGGUAGCAAACGGGAUUAGAUACCCCAGUAGUCC